GCGAAGGCGGCUGUCUGGUCUGCAACUGACGCUGAGGCUCGAAAGCAUGGGUAGCGAACAGGAUUAGAUACCCUGGUAGUCCAUGCCGUAAACGAUGAUUACUAAGUGUUGGAGGGUUUCCGCCCUUCAGUGCUGCAGCUAACGCAUUAAGUAAUCCGCCUGGGGAGUACGACCGCAAGGUUGAAACUCAAAAGAAUUGACGGGGGCCCGCACAAGCGGUGGAGCAUGUGGUUUAAUUCGAAGCUACGCGAAGAACCUUACCAGGUCUUGACAUCUUCUGACAGUCUAAGAGAUUAGAGGUUCCCUUCGGGGACAGAAUGACAGGUGGUGCAUGGUUGUCGUCAGCUCGUGUCGUGAGAUGUUGGGUUAAGUCCCGCAACGAGCGCAACCCUUAUUACUAGUUGCCAGCAUUAAGUUGGGCACUCUAGUGAGACUGCCGGUGACAAACCGGAGGAAGGUGGGGACGACGUCAAAUCAUCAUGCCCCUUAUGACCUGGGCUACACACGUGCUACAAUGGAUGGUACAACGAGUCGCGAGACCGCGAGGUUAAGCUAAUCUCUUAAAACCAUUCUCAGUUCGGACUGUAGGCUGCAACUCGCCUACACGAAGUCGGAAUCGCUAGUAAUCGCGGAUCAGCAUGCCGCGGUGAAUACGUUCCCGGGCCUUGUACACACCGCCCGUCACACCA
rnacentral:rRNA from 1 species